rnacentral:rRNA from 1 species
GACAGAGGGUGCAAACGUUGUUCGGAAUUACUGGGCGUAAAGCGCGUGUAGGCGGCCCUGCAAGUCGGAUGUGAAAGCCCUGGGCUUAACCUAGGAAGUGCAUUCGAAACUGCAGGGCUUGAGUUCUGGAGAGGAAGGCGGAAUUCUCGGUGUAGAGGUGAAAUUCGUAGAUAUCGAGAGGAACACCGGUGGCGAAGGCGGCCUUCUGGACAGUGACUGACGCUGAGACGCGAAAGCGUGGGGAGCAAACAGG